GCCAGUGUGGCAUAGUGGUUUGAGUGUUUGUCUAUGACUCUGGAUACCAGGGUUUGAUUCCCAGCUCACCCA